CUUGGAGGUGUGUUUUGAGAUUUGAGAGACCAGAAGACCAAAGUAAGAAAAACCCUUCCGCAGCAUCUAAGGACUGAAGGAAAGAAGCAAAAAAAACUACUCUCAGAAAAAGGCAAUAAUACCUACAAGAAAAAAACACACACCAUCACAGUCGGACAUGGCUAAUUUGCACUGAUGACUGGGAGAUUAAUUGAAAACAACAGCAUUUUACAUGGAGUCCUUUGCAGUUUACGCAGUGGUUUUCUUUGAGUCCGUCUAUUUUAGAGAUCCUGCUCUUGAUGACACAGUCAGUCCUGCAGCAGAAGGAGCCAUGCCUUUGAACUUUGAAGGGAAAAUUCACUGACAGAAUGUACAGUGGAAACCCUCAGUAGCAGAAGGUAAGUUAUGUCUAAUUAACCAUCUGAGACGCAUCCUACACUAUCAAGGGAAUUGGCUAAUGAACGUAUCGUGCCACUGACAAUUAUGUUUGAAAAAUCAUGGACAAAUGAGGAGGCACCUAAAGAAUGGGGAAAAAAACAAAUCAACAAACAAGGAGAGAAGAGGAGU